AAAAAAGUCGAAUGAACAUAAAUUGUUUCAUUAUUUUAAAAUACUUGAAAUUGAUUUUUCUUUAUUAACCAUUAUCAAAACCUUAAAACACAGGAAAGGAUUGUUUAACGAUCAAUUAAGAAGUAUUCGUAUUAAAGGAACUUCUAUCAACGGAAGGACUCAAAAGCUACAAAAUGGGCAAUAACAAGUCACAUGUUUCUACUGAUACAUACGUUCGUGAAGUUCGAAAUGUUAGAAUUGGAAUGUCAGACCGUGAUAGAAAAUUAUAUAAUUUUGCGCGGAUGAAGAUUGCAGAAGAAGAUCUUGAUGAUGCCAAAAUUACUAUUGGUUUUCAAGACCAAAAUGCCAUGGUUCUUCAGGCCGUUUC